AACGCACAUUGCGCCCUUUGGUAUUCCGAAGGGCAUGCCUGUUCGAGCGUCAUUAUAACCACUCAAGCUCUCGCUUGGUAUUGGGGUGCGCGGUUCCGCGGCCUCUAAAGUCAGUGGCGGUGCCUGUCGGCUCUACGCGUAGUAAUACUCCUCGCGUCUGGGUCCGGUAGGUUGCUUGCCAACAACCCCCAAAUUUUUACAGGUUGACCUCGGAUCAGGUAGGGAUACCCGCUGAACUUAA
rnacentral:misc_RNA from 2 species